UCAAAGGCUCUGCUUCCAAUUCUUCUCGACAUUUCUUUACGUUUCCACUUCUCUCUCUCUCUCACUUCGCUGUCUUCUCUCCUCUCAUCUCUCACUCUUCCUCUGACUCUCCUGCUCUACUGAAAGAACCAUAAUUUUUCAUCUUCCCCUCUUCUUGAGAUUUUCUUGGUGGGUUUUCGUUCUCAGGUCCCGUAUGUAAAAGGGUUUUGGUGAUGAAGAUCGGUGACAAUGAUCGGAGGUCGUCGCUGUGUGCGUGAUCCCAAUGGCACUGGUCUUCAAUUCUGGUAAUUUCUAUGGUUUUGUGUUGCGUAAUAUUUGGGGAUUUGGUUUGGGUCUGUGGGUUCUAACCCCAAGUACCGCAUCAGCAUGAAUCCAAUUCUAAAUUAAGGGAGAUGAUGCAAAACCCAGAAAUUCUUCAUCAGUUGGCUUCUCCUGAGACUAUACAAGUAUAUUUAUUCUGGGUGCCUAAGGUUUUGAGUUUUGAAGUUUGUGUUUGACUAAUUGACCAUUGAGAUAGCCGUCCUAUAUGACACCGCCAAGGCUCUCAAUUCUGAGUCUUUCUUAUUUACAAUUUGGUUUGUGGUCUUUUGACAUCUUUGUUGCUCUACCCAUCACCAAGCACAGCUUGACAAUCCCCAGCAUUAGCAACUAUGAAGGUCCUGCAAAAAUUACAAUAUACUCUUGACUUUGCAGCAAUCACUUUUGUCGUAACUGGUCGGCAACAGUAACAGUCAAACCAGUAAGAAGUGAGAUAGAUUUUUCUUUGAUAUGUUUGAUAUAUAUAGCCUGAAUUGAUAUUUCUCCCUUAGCUCCUUGCGGAAUCCAUAUUGAUUAUAUGGAUUACCUAUGCAACUUGAUUGAAGUUUGAUGUAAUUUCAUAUUGUUAAAUCCCUUUAAAUGGAUGAGAAAAUAUUGUUGAACUCCUCAAACUUUAUUUGAGCUCUACUUUCAAUUUAAUUUCAUAUCAGUGAGAGAAUGUAAUUUUGUUUGAAAGGUUGGAAAAAGCUAAUAACUCUUGGUAAAAUGU